rnacentral:rRNA from 1 species
AGUUUGAAUCCUGGCUCAGGAUGAACGCUANCGGGCAGGGCUUAAUACAUGCAAGUCGUAGGGGCAGCGGGAGUAGCAAUACUUGCCGGCGACCGGCGCACGGGUGCGUAACACGUAUGUAANCUGCCCAUCACAGGAGGAUAGCCCGGAGAAAUUCGGAUUAAUACUCCAUAAUAGAAGAUAAAGCAUUUUAUUUUCUUGAAAGUUCCGACGGUGAUGGAUGAACAUGCGACUGAUUAGUUGUUGGUGAGGUAACGGCUCACCAAGACUACGAUCAGUAGGGGUACUGAGAGGUUAAACCCCCCACACUGGUACUGAGACACGGACCAGACUCCUACGGGAGGCAGCAGUAAGGAAUAUUGGACAAUGGCCGCAAGGCUGAUCCAGCCAUGCCGCGUGCAGGAAGACGGACCUAUGGUUUGUAAACUGCUUUGAACGGGAGAAAACCCCCUACGUGUAGGGGGCUGAUAGUACUGUUAGAAUAAGCAUCGGCUAACUUCGUG